rnacentral:rRNA from 1 species
AUUGAACGCUGGCGGCAGGCCUAACACAUGCAAGUCGAACGAGUGGCGGACGGGUGAGUAAUGUCUGGGAAACUGACUAAUGGAGGGGGAUAACUACUGGAAAAGGUAGAUAAUACCGCAUAACAUCAGAUGUGCCCAGAUGGGAUGAGCUAGUUGGUGUGGUAAAGGCUAACAAAGGCGACGAUCCCUAGCUGGUCUGAGAGGCUGACCUGCCACACUGGGACUGAGACACGGUCCAGACUCCUACGGGAGGCAGCAGUGGGGAAUAUUGCACAAUGGGCGCAAGCCUGAUGCAGCCAUGCCGCGUGUAUGAAGAAGGCCUUCGGGUUGUAAAGUACUUGCAGCGGGGAGGCGUUACCCGCAGAAGAAGCACCGGCUAACUCCGUGCCAGCAGCCGCGGUAAUAC